rnacentral:rRNA from 1 species
GACGAACGCUGGCGGCGUGCUUAACACAUGCAAGUCGAACGGAAAGGCCCUGCUUUUGUGGGGUGCUCGAGUGGCGAACGGGUGAGUAACACGUGAGUAACCUGCCCUUGACCUUGGGAUAACUUCAGGAAACUGGGGCUAAUACCGGAUAGGAGCUCCUGCUGCAUGGUGGGGGUUGGAAAGUUUCGGCGGUUGGGGAUGGACUCGCGGCUUAUCAGCUUGUUGGUGGGGUAGUGGCUUACCAAGGCUUUGACGGGUAGCCGGCCUGAGAGGGUGACCGGCCACAUUGGGGCUGAGAUACGGCCCAGACUCCUACGGGAGGCAGCAGUGGGGAAUAUUGCACAAUGGGCGGAAGCCUGAUGCAGCAACGCCGCGUGCGGGAUGACGGCCUUCGGGUUGUAAACCGCUUUCGCCUGUGACGAAGCGUGAGUGACGGUAAUGGGUAAAGAAGCACCGGCUAACUACGUG